ensembl:snoRNA small nucleolar RNA SNORA56
CAGAAGAUAGGUGUCCCUUUCUAAUCUGGCUUGUGGGACUCUAGAGGGAGUCAAUCUGCAGCAGUAAAUGCUGAGUUCCUCUGACUAGUGUCAGCAUUUUGAUGUUGGCUUUAGAUUUCCCAGAUAUCA